GUGUCAGCAGCCGCGGUAAUACAGAGAUGGCAAGCGUUGUUCGGAAUCACUGGGCUUAAAGCGCGUGUAGGCGGAGCGAUAGGCGCCUUGUGAAAUCCCUCGGCUCAACCGAGGAACUGCUUGGCGAACCGGCGCUCUUGAGGCAGGUAGAGGUAACUGGAACCAUAGGUGGAGCGGUGAAAUGCGUAGAGAUCUAUGGGAACGCCGGUGGCGAAAGCGAGUUACUGGGCCUGUUCUGACGCUGAGACGCGAAAGCGUGGGUAGCAAACAGGAUUAGAUACCCUCGUAGUCC
rnacentral:rRNA from 1 species